UCGAACGAGAAAGUGGAGCAAUCCAUGAGUAAAGUGGCGCACGGGUGAGUAACACGUGACUAACCUACCCAGGAGUGGGGGAUAACUGAGGGAAACCUUAGCUAAUACCGCAUAACACCUACGGGUCAAAGGAGCAAUUCGCUUCUGGAGGGGGUCGCGGCCGAUUAGUUAGUUGGCAGGGUAAUGGCCUACCAAGACGAUGAUCGGUAUCCGGCCUGAGAGGGCGCACGGACACACUGGAACUGAAACACGGUCCAGACUCCUACGGGAGGCAGCAGUGGGGAAUUUUGCGCAAUGGGGGAAACCCUGACGCAGCAACGCCGCGUGGAGGAUGAAGUCCUUCGGGACGUAAACUCCUUUCGAUCGGGACGAUUAUGACGGUACCGGAAGAAGAAGCCCCGGCUAACUUCGUGCCAGCAGCCGCGGUAAUACGAGGGGGGCGAGCGUUGUUCGGAAUUAUUGGGCGUAAAGGGUGCGUAGGCGGUUUGGUAAGUCUGAUGUGAAAUCUAUGGGCUCAACUCAUAGCCUGCAUCGGAAACUGCCGGGCUUGAGUGUGGGAGAGGUGAGUGGAAUUCCUGGUGUAGCGGUGAAAUGCGUAGAUAUCAGGAGGAACACCUGUGGCGAAAGCGGCUCACUGGACCAUAACUGACGCUGAUGCACGAAAGCUAGGGGAGCAAACAGGAUUAGAUACCCUGGUAGUCCUAGCCCUAAACGAUGACUGCUU
rnacentral:rRNA from 1 species